rnacentral:rRNA from 1 species
UACGUAGGGUGCAAGCGUUAAUCGGAAUUACUGGGCGUAAAGCGUGCGCAGGCGGUUCUAUAAGACAGAUGUGAAACCCCCGGGCUCAACCUGGGAACUGCAUUUGUGACUGUAGAGCUGGAGUACGGUAGAGGGGGAUGGAAUUCCGCGUGUAGCAGUGAAAUGCGUAGAUAUGCGGAGGAACACCGAUGGCGAAGGCAAUCCCCUGGACCUGUACUGACGCUCAUGCACGAAAGCUAGGGGAGCAAACAGG